rnacentral:rRNA from 1 species
CGCCCUUUGGUGUGCCAGCUCCUCCAUCCUCCGGAUCUUGGGCGGCAGCCCGCACACGUACUCCUGCGCCCGGCGGCCCUCUCCAGAGAGUCCGGCGAGCUCCGCCACCCGCCACCUGCGCACGAAGUGCUCCACCAGAUCGCCGUAGUCCCUCGCCGUGUACACGCCGGCACUCUGCGCCACGGCGGAGAACCGCUCGAACAGGCUGUUCUCGCCACUGGCGGCGUCGCGGCCGUCGGACAUGAGCAGCCCCGGCAUGGUGACCUUGCCGCGCAUGACGUGCGCCAGCGCGCGCACCAUGCCGUCGGGGUCCAGCUCGAAGAGCUUGGCGCACACCCUGGUGUAGCCCGCCUCGUGCCUCUUCUCGUCGGCGGCAAUCACGCCGCAGAUCUUGGCGAGCGCCUGGUCGCCGUGCUGCCCGGCGAGCCUCGCCGUGUGCACGUGGGAGACGAAGGUCGCGCGCUCCUGGAACGCGCCGUAGAUCACGCUGUGGUACGGUACGUACGGUGCAACUGUGUUUAUGCGCGUACGUACCAUGCCGUUGCGGAGGAGGUGGUGGACGGUGGUCUCGACCUGGCGCAUGUCGACGCGGCCGGAGAGGUAGAGGUAGCGGUUGAGGAGGUCGCCGUGGCGGUUCUCCUCGGCCGUCCAGCCGCGGAUCCACUGCGCCCAGGGGAGGCUGCUGGCCCCGGUGUCGUCCGCGAUGCCCUCCGUGCGGUUCCCCAUGCUCUGGUACGACGGGAGCGCCUCCUCCGUCACCAUGUUGCCCACCAGGCAGACCAGGACCUCGUCGGGCACGCGGGCGGCUCCCGCGCGCAGCGCAGCCACGCCGUCCAUGAAGGCGGACAGAGCCUCCUCCUCCGACGCGCCGGGCGUCGCGGCGGAGCACGGCAUGAAGUCGUGCGGCUGCCACGAGGACUCCACCGGGUUGAGCAGCGG